rnacentral:rRNA from 1 species
CAAUAGCGUAUAUUAAAGUUGUUGCGGUAAAAAAGCUCGUAGUUGGAUUUCUGUUGAGAGCGACCGGUCCAUACCAUGUAUGCGUAUCUGGCUUGCUCUCGGCAUCCUCUCGAUAGACGUUACUGCGCUUGAUUGCGUGGUGCGGAUCUCGGGACUUUUACUUUGAGGAAAUUAGAGUGUUCACGGCAGGCUUUCGCCAGAAUACAUUAGCAUGGAAUAAUACUAUAGGAUCUUGGUUCUAUUUUGUUGGUUUCUAGAAUUGAGAUAAUGAUUAAUAGGGACAAUUGGGGGCAUUCGUAUCAACACGUCAGAGGUGGAAGUCUUGGAUUGUGUUGCGACGAACUACUGCGAAAGCAUUUGCCAAGGAUGUUUUCAUUGA